CUGACUGUAGCUUGCAAGUUGUCAGUUCCUGUCCACAGCUAAAAGUCGUUAUUGUACUUCCAAGUACCGGGACAAAUAGUUAACGUUGUGUCAAGCCAAGCCAACGAUGUUUGAAAUUGGUGGACGUUUUUUAAAUUAUUGAUAUUCCAGUUUUCUUAAAAGGAUGGAAGAUAAGCGACACAACUUUGCUAACUAGGGACAGAGCAGCCAAACGGCAAACAGACAACGAUGAAGCCGGACAGACAGGACUUGUAGACAGACAUGGACUCAAGGUCAUUAAGGUGGCUCAGGCAGGGUCUGGCUGUGGCAGUGAGGGACGGGUGGGCAGACCGGGCUGUGCCGCUCCCUCUACAUGUCUGCUAAAUGACAGUAAUUAUUUUCCUGGGCUGCAGGCAACUCAUGCAUGUUUUAUUCCCUCCUCCACCUCCCCCAUCUGCCUUGGUCAAUUGUGGUGCACUCUGCAUCAGACCACUUCUCCAACGCAUCUCUCUUUGUGGGCCUCUAUCUCCCAGCCCAUCGUUCCCAGUAACAUUGGGAUGUAUGGAGAAAACAAGGAUAUGUCCCACCGUGAUCUGUUGCGAUGGUUAAUGAUGCCACACGAUGUUGGAAUCGUUCCAGUGAGGUGACUGCCUCAUCUGUCCAAUGUAAAGCACUUUCAGCCUGCAAGAGUAGUUUAAGUGUUAAUCCAAUUCGCCGUCCUGACAACAGUGGUGUGGUUCUGGCACAAAACACCUGACGUAUGCGGAGAUUCACAUUGAUGGAGGAUAAGGUGAGUUAUUCAAACUCACACAGAACAAAAGACAUGUUGAAGCUGG
ensembl:lncRNA